CUACAAGUUGUUUGAUGAAAAUCCAAAAAGGCUGACAUGGGAGAAUUAAUCCAUGUAAGUCAUGUGAUUUUAUUUUUCUAUUAUUUAGUUCCAGUCAAAGAUAAUAAGUUGAGUAGUCCCAUUAAAUUUUUGCAAUUUAGGUAUUGAAGGAGCUCAGGAUGCUUUUAUUUCUAUUUACAUCAUGGACUUUAUUAUAGAACAACCACAGUGAAGAAGAUUAUCUCAUUUCUUUUGGAUGAUUUGGUUUAGUUGGCUAUUACGCAAGUCGGAAUGAAUUAACAAGUACAGAAAUGAAUAUCUGCAGCUCCUUCCUAAAUGCUUCCCAAAUACAAAUGGUCUCAGGAAAAAGGCAAAUAUGCAAUAAUUUUGUGCUGGUUCAAAUUAGGUAAAGUGGGUAACUACUAAACCAGAGGCUGUUGCAUGCCAUUUUUGUUCAUCGGCCUGGCAUGAUUUGGAUUGUUGUAGAGGUCGGUGUGAAUGAAGAGCUAGCUUGGGAAGACGCAGUCGAUUAUUAUUGCCUAUUUCUCUAUUGAAAGGUGUUGCUUCUUUCAUCUUGACAGAUUAUAUAACAUGCUUGCACCUCAACAACAGUCGACAUCUGCUGGACCUGCCAGUUCUCAGGUGGAAGGUGGUGACCAGCAACGCGCACGUGGACGAUGGUUGGGAUGUGCUAUUACCCGUGCACAGGACUCCCUAUUAUCUAUUAUGGGAAUGGUUAUUUGCCUGCUCUUACAGAUAAAGCACCUGAUUUGAAUUAUCUACGAGAUAAAGUUAUGCAAGCUUCGGCAUGCUGGGAGUCCCCACUCUCAUGUUGUUGGAGCUGUGACAUACAUGUGGCGGGUAUCCUCAAUAGGGAGCAGCAAAUUGGAGGCCAAAGAAGCAAAUUUGUCCAAUUCUGAAACUAAAUUUUGUGAAGGAGGCCGAAGUUCAUUACAACGCCAAUAGGAUUGGUGAAGGUCUGGAUGCAAUAAGAAUUGCAUGUGGUAAACAGAUGCAAGAUUCCAGUGUUCUGAAGUCAUGGGAUGCAAGGCUAUCCAAUCUCUUAACAGUAUAUUGCACCCAGUUAGCAAGAUGAUCUACAUUUGGAACAAACUCUUGGAGGGGGAGACUUGGUUUCAACUGUUGAUGAGGCACUAUCUGAGGAGAGACAGUAGAUAAAUGCAAAUGUCCCCCAGCGCCAGAGGAGAUCCUUUCUAUGGAGAAACACCAUAUACGUACAUAUUUUUUACCUGGAUUCUGGAAACGACCAAGGAUAAGCAACUCAAGCGAAAGAUUGCUUUGGUCGAUCCUGCCGUGUUAUUCUUCUCAAACAUGCUAAAGAAAGGGAUGAUACAAUCAAUCCAACUGUUACCUUUGGUGUGCUUUUUGGAUGGACUAAUCUCAAGAUGCUGGCUAGCUUGCACCGGCAUCAUACAGUCUAGAAGAAAAAGUAAGGAUUACAGGGAAAAUAAAGGCAAUUCGCCAGCCGGAGUGCUGCCAACUAAUACAUUUUUGUACUUCCUCUGUUACAGAGGUUGCUCCUGCAGAGAAAGCACAGUAAACUCAAAUGAUUUAAUUAGAAAAUACUCUUCAGCAUCUGGAACAUCUAAAGGCCAUCACUCAACUAAGUAUCUUAUAAAAUAUACCCAGCUGGAUGAUUGGAGUAGUCCCAGCCACUAAUUAGUGCUCCUGUGUUGAAUCACUCAGCUAAGUAUCAACACUGCCCUCGAGACUUGACUAUUAGCAUAGUAGCAAAAAGCUCAGACAGAAAAAAUCUACGGAUUCAUCAAACACCGAAGGAGGUUAGUUCUCACCUGAGUGGCAACGGCGGCUGCCAUGGUCUUGCUAGAGCAUCUCUUGGCGUGAAAAGUUACCAGCUUCAGGGAGUGCUGGCACAGCCAAAACUGACGCCACCUACGGCUGGGAGCGACAGGGCAACUGAGGAUUUGGCUCGCCGGUACAAGCAACCGCGGCACCAUUUGCCAGUUCUGUGGCUCCAAGCUACAGCCGUAGCUGCCGGGCCACCAAGACGAUGCAGAUGGAGCUGCAACGCCUCUGAACUGCAGCAGGAGCCGCUCUGCUGCCAAGCUGCAGCCCAAAGUGGCGUCACCGGGCACCACCAGGUGCUUUCUCACUUCAGUACGAGUAGAAUGGGAAAGGAACGGGACGAAGACAAUGAACUGGUGGAUGGAACAAGACCAACAGUCAACCACGUGGUGACCUCUGGCGUUACGUUGUGACGCGUGUGUAUAGGUGUCGAGAGUGUGUGGUUCUUUGUCCCAAUGGCACAAUUGUAAAUUUGUUUAUCUUGGUAAUUUACACUGCAUGUACUGGUAUGAUCUGUACCGUUCCGUGCAAUCUAUUCCUACUCAUCUUGACUUCCUUUUA